rnacentral:rRNA from 1 species
AUUGAACGCUGGCGGCAUGCCUUACAUAUGCAAGUCGAACGGCAGCACGGGUGCUUGCACCUGGUGGCGAGUGGCGAACGGGUGAGUAAUACAUCGGAACGUACCUUAUCGUGGGGGAUAACGCAGCGAAAGUUGCGCUAAUACCGCAUACGCCCUGAGGGGGCAAGCGGGGGACCGUAAGGCCUCGCGCGAUUAGAGCGGCCGAUGUCUGAUUAGCUUGUUGGUGAGGUAAAAGCUCACCAAGGCGAUGAUCAGUAGCUGGUCUGAGAGGACGAUCAGCCACACUGGGACUGAGACACGGCCCAGACUCCUACGGGAGGCAGCAGUGGGGAAUUUUGGACAAUGGGGGCAACCCUGAUCCAGCAAUGCCGCGUGAGUGAAGAAGGCCUUCGGGUUGUAAAGCUCUUUUGUCAGGGAAGAAACAGCAGCUCUAACACAGUCUGCGAAUGACGGUACCUGAAGAAUAAGCACCGGCUAACUACGUGCCAGCCGCCGCGGUAA